GUACAUCACACAGCGUCUGGUCCUGUAGCUCUCAGGAGGGCACAACUCCCAGGAUCGACUCCAGGGCACCAAGGGAGAACACAAGACAAUGUUCGCCAGCAGCCAUAACACGAACCGUGACCCUGCAUCACAGCCGUGGUCCUGAGCACUGCCUGGCAGAAGCCAACACGAAACAUUGCUGACACAGAGGACAGUCAGGCAUACGAAUCUAGAUGGGGAAGACACAAUGCAAUCCUUCAGAGCACCAGCUCUGCCAGUGAGGACAGAAG